rnacentral:rRNA from 1 species
GAGUUUGAUCCUGGCUCAGGACGAACGCUGGCGGCGUGGAUUAGGCAUGCAAGUCGAACGCGAAAGUUUCCCUUCGGGGAAAUGAGUAGAGUGGCGGACGGGUGAGUAACGCGUAGGUAUCUGCCUUUAAGUGGGGGAUAGCCCCGGGAAACCGGGAUUAAUACCGCAUGUGGAACUUCGGUUCUAAAGAUGGCCUCUGUUUCAAGCUAUCGCUUAGAGAUGAGCCUGCGUCCUAUUAGCUAGUUGGUAAGGUAACGGCUUACCAAGGCGAUGAUAGGUAGGCGGCUUUAACGAGUGGUCGCCCACACUGGGAUUGAGAUACGGCCCAGACUCCUACGGGAGGCAGCAGUCGAGAAUAGUCUACAAUGGAGGAAACUCUGAUAGUGCGACGCCGCGUGGAUGAAGAAGCAUUUCGGUGUGUAAAAUCCUUUUCUUUGUGAGCAAUGCCUGUAUGAUUAAUAGUUUUACAGGAGAGAUAUUAGCAGANGAAUUAGCUCCGGCUAACUCCGUGCCAGCAGCCGCGGUAACACGGGGGGAGCNAGCGUUGUCCGGAAUACUAGGCGUAANGGGCANGUAGGCGGAAUGUAAGUCAGAUGUNAAAGNCACNGCUCAC